rnacentral:rRNA from 1 species
AUUGAACGCUGGCGGCAGGCUUAACACAUGCAAGUCGAGCGAGCGGCGGACGGGUGAGUAAUGUCUGGGAACCUGCUUGAUGGAGGGGGAUAACUACUGGAAACGGUAGCUAAUACCGCAUACCAUCAGAUGUGCCCAGAUGGGAUUAGCUAGUGGGUGGGGUAAUGGCUCACCUAGGCGACGAUCCCUAGCGGGUCUGAGAGGAUGACGGGCCACCCUGGACCGGAGCCACGGCCCAGACCCCUACGGGAGGCAGCAGAGGGGAAUAUUGCACAAUGGGCGCAAGCCGGAUGCAGCCAUGCGGCGUGUGGGAAGAAGGCCUUCGGGUUGUAAAGCACUUUCAGCGAGGAGGCGUUACUCGCAGAAGAAGCACCGGCUAACUCCGUGCCAGCAGCCGCGGUAAUAC